GCCGGGCAUGGUGGCGCAUGCCUGUAAUCCUAGCUACUCAGGAAGCUGAGGCAGGAGAAUUGCUUGAACCUGGGAGGUGGAGGCUGCAGUGAGCCAAGAUCACACCACUGCACUCCAGCCUGGGUGACAGAGCGAUACUCUGUCUCAA
rnacentral:SRP_RNA from 2 species